UCCCUCUCCGCUGCACCCCGCAACCAGUAACCCACAGCCGCACCCACAGCCCCGCAACGCCGCAGCUCCACAACCCGGCAGCCCCGCAACACCGCAACCCCGCAGCCCCGCAGCCCGCAACACCGUAACCCCGCAACCCACAGCCGCACCCACAGCCCCGCCACACUCCACAGCAAGCCGCACUCCACAGCCGCAACCCACAGCAACCUCUGCCUCCACCGCCGCCCACAGCCUCUGUUUUCUGCCAUUAACAACCCCGUCCACCGCCAGGGCCAAAACCAGUCCAAUUUGACUGGUUUCUCUAAUCCUUCGUGAUUUCUGGAACCACUCGAUGUUUCCGAAUCAUCUACAAUUGAAGAAAUUGAUCUUCCGGACAUUUGAAGGCUGUUUUCUGGAAUAUGUGAUGCUGUUUCUUGUGAUUUGUAAAGCUGGACUUGUGAAGCUGUACUUUUUCUUGUGAUUUCUGAAGGGGUUGUACUUUUUCUUGUCAGGUGUUUGAAGUUGGACAAUUUUUAAGCUAUGUAGCAGUGUUUUACAUGGUUAUUUGGCUGUAGUUUGUGCGUUUAUUUGGCUGGACAAAACCUGUUAUGGUAUAUUGGCUCUUAUGAAUGUUGUCUCGUAUGGAAUUAGACUGUAGUUUGUGUAUUUGUUGACUGCAGCCCCUGGAGUUUGUGUUGUAUGGAUCAUGGAUGUUAUGGUCUUAUUUGUCUUGGAUGAAAUAUGGUUAGAGUUUGUGUAUUGUUGAAUGUGAAUGGCAUUGGUUGCCAAUCCUAA